rnacentral:rRNA from 1 species
GACGAACGCUGGCGGCGUGCUUAACACAUGCAAGUCGAACGGAAAGGCCCUGCUUUUGUGGGGUGCUCGAGUGGCGAACGGGUGAGUAACACGUGAGUAACCUGCCCUUGACUUUGGGAUAACUUCAGGAAACUGGGGCUAAUACCGGAUAGGAGCUCCUGCUGCAUGGUGGGGGUUGGAAAGUUUCGGCGGUUGGGGAUGGACUCGCGGCUUAUCAGCUUGUUGGUGGGGUAGUGGCUUACCAAGGCUUUGACGGGUAGCCGGCCUGAGAGGGUGACCGGCCACAUUGGGACUGAGGUACGGCCCAGACUCGUACGGGGGGCAGCGGUGGGGAAUAUUGCACAAUGGGCGCAAGCCUGAUGCAGAAACGCCGCGUGCGGGAUGACGGCCUUCGGGUUGUAAACCGCUGUCGCCUGUGACGAAGCGUGAGUGACGGUAAUGGGUAAAGAAGCACCGGCUAACUACGUG